AUGCUCGCUUCAGCAGCACGUAUUCUAAAACUGGAAAGAUGCGGAAAAGAUGAGCAUGGCCUCUGCGUGAGGAUGACAUGCAAGUUUGUGAAGUGUUCCAGGUUUUU